UCGCCUGUUUAUCAAAAACAUGUCCUUUUGAAUUUAAUUUAAGGUCUAACCUGCCCACUGAAAUUUUUAAAUGGCCGCAGUAUUUUAACUGUGCAAAGGUAGCAUAAUCAUUAGUCUUUUAAUUGAAGGCUGGUAUGAAUGGUUGAAUGAAAUAUUAACUGUUUCAAUUUAAUUUAAAAUAAAAUUUUAUUUUUUAGUUAAAAAGCUAAAAUAUUUUUAAAAGACGAGAAGACCCUAUAAAUCUUAAUAAUUACAUAUUAAUAAAUAUAUAGAAAAUUUAAUUUAUUAAUAAAAUAAUUAUUUUAUUGGGGUGAUAUUAAAAUUUAUUAAACUUUUAAUUAUUUUUUAACAUUAAUUAAUGAAUUAUUGAUCCAUAAAUUAUGAUUAAAAAAUUAAGUUACUUUAGGGAUAACAGCGUAAUUUUUUUAGAGAGUUCAUAUUGAUAAAAAAGAUUGCGACCUCGAUGUUGGAUUAAGAUAUAAAUUUAGGUGCAGAAGUUUAAAUUUAAAGUCUGUUCGACUUAUAAUUUCUUACAUGAUCUGAGUUCAAACCGGAGA
rnacentral:rRNA from 1 species